ACGCACGCUGGCGGCGUGCUUCACCCAUGCAAGUCGAACGGAAAGGCCCUGCUUUUGUGGGGUGCUCGAGUGGCGAACGGGUGAGUAACACGUGAGUAACCUGCCCUUGACUUUGGGAUAACUUCAGGGAACUGGGGCUAAUACCGGAUAGGAGCUCCUGCUGCAUGGUGGGGGUUGGAAAGUUUCGGCGGUUGGGGAUGGACUCGCGGCUUAUCAGCUUGUUGGUGGGGUAGUGGCUUACCAAGGCUUUGACGGGUAGCCGGCCUGAGAGGGUGACCGGCCACAUUGGGACUGAGAUACGGCCCAGACUCCUACGGGAGGCAGCAGUGGGGAAUAUUGCACAAUGGGCGGAAGCCUGAUGCAGCAACGCCGCGUGCGGGAUGACGGCCUUCGGGUUGUAAACCGCUUUCGCCUGUGACGAAGCGUGAGUGACGGUAAUGGGUAAAGAAGCACCGGCUAACUACGUG
rnacentral:rRNA from 1 species